rnacentral:ncRNA from 2 species
AUCGAGUGGUGAGUCCCCGUUCCCGCUAGGCUGGUCGCAGCCCACGGCCCAGGAACCCGGUGAGAUCCCGGGGCGGUUCCGCCACUGUGAAGCCCUACGAGGGCAAGCCAGACACUGGACGUCGGGUGAGUCCAUGC